GUUAAUGUAGCUUAAACAAAGCAAAGCACUGAAAAUGCUUAGAUGGAUGAAAACAUCCCAUAAACA
rnacentral:tRNA from 1 species